AUACUUUGGUAGCACAUAUACUACAAUUGGAAUGAUACAAAGAAGAUUAGCAUGACCCCUGCACAAGGAUGACACGAAAAAUAAAAGGUAUGGAAGGAACCAGUUUUA